GCAGGAGAAUUGCCUGAACCCAGGAGGCGGAGGUUGCAGUGAGCCCAGAUUGCGCCACUGCAUUCCAGCCUGGGCGAAAAGACGGAAACUCCAUCUCAANAAAA